rnacentral:rRNA from 1 species
GACCUCAAAUCAGGUAGGACUACCCGCUGAACUUAAGCAUAUCAAUAAGCGGAGGAAAAGAAACUAACAAGGAUUCCCCUGGUAACUGCGAGUGAAGCGGGAAAAGCUCAAAUUUAAAAUCUGGUAGUCUAUGGCUGCCCGAGUUGUAAUCUAGAGAAGCGUUAUCCGCGCUGGACCGUGUACAAGUCUCCUGGAAUGGAGCGUCAUAGAGGGUGAGAAUCCCGUCUUUGACACGGACUACCAGGGCUUUGUGAUGCGCUCUCAAAGAGUCGAGUUGUUUGGGAAUGCAGCUCUAAAUGGGUGGUAAAUUCCAUCUAAAGCUAAAUAUUGGCGAGAGACCGAUAGCGAACAAGUACCGUGAGGGAAAGAUGAAAAGAACUUUGGAAAGAGAGUUAAACAGUACGUGAAAUUGUUGAAAGGGAAACGC